GAUCCUGGCCUCAUAUUGAACGCUGGCGGCAUGCCUUACACAUGCAAGUCGAACGGCAGCGCGGACUUCGGUCUGGCGGCGAGUGGCGAACGGGUGAGUAAUACAUCGGAACGUACCCUGUUGUGGGGGAUAACUAGUCGAAAGAUUAGCUAAUACCGCAUACGACCUGAGGGUGAAAGUGGGGGACCGCAAGGCCUCACGCAGCAGGAGCGGCCGAUGUCUGAUUAGCUAGUUGGUGGGGUAAAGGCCCACCAAGGCGACGAUCAGUAGCUGGUCUGAGAGGACGAUCAGCCACACUGGGACUGAGACACGGCCCAGACUCCUACGGGAGGCAGCAGUGGGGAAUUUUGGACAAUGGGGGCAACCCUGAUCCAGCAAUGCCGCGUGUGUGAAGAAGGCCUUCGGGUUGUAAAGCACUUUUGUCCGGAAAGGAAUCGCGCUGGUUAAUACCUGGCGUGGAUGACGGUACCGGAAGAAUAAGCACCGGCUAACUACGUGCCAGCAGCCGCGGUAAUACGUAGGGUGCGAGCGUUAAUCGGAAUUACUGGGCGUAAAGCGUGCGCAGGCGGUUUUGUAAGACAGGCGUGAAAUCCCCGGGCUUAACCUGGGUAUUGCGCUUGUGACUGCAAGGCUAGAGUGCGUCAGAGGGGGGUAGAAUCCCGCGUGUAGCAGUGAAAUGCGUAAAGAUGUGCAAGAAUACCGGAUGGCAAAUGUCUCCCCCUGGGACGUGGACUGACGCUCAUGCUCGGAAGCGUGGGGGAGCAAAUCGGAAUAGAUACCCUGGUAGGCCCCGCCCUAAACGAUGUCCACCUUGGUGUUGCGCAUUCCUCUUCUCCCGAACAGAUGCGUACCCGGUGAAAAUGACCCCCUCUGUGGACCGACUCCCACGAUUAAAUUUCUAGGAGUGUAUCGGAGGGCUACCCUG
rnacentral:rRNA from 1 species